rnacentral:lncRNA from 1 species
UGUUUGUGGCUGGCAGAGGCAAAAUACUGGACUUGUAGCAGCAAUGAUAGUGAUCAGUCAACAGAGGGAUUUAGAGCAGGCGUUAAGCUUGAAGCUCUGAAGUCUGCUGUGAGAAUGAAAUGAGAUAGCAAAGCUGUGCCUGAAGUCAUGUCUACCCUUUGGACUUUCUCUUCAAUUUAAGUCAUUUUGAGUAGUGUUUCUGCCUCUUGGAAUCUAAAGGAUCCACAUGAAUGUAAUGAAGUUAUGUGCCAGGUGCUAUGAGGCGAUGAGAAGGAAGAAGAGUAUGUACCACUGUCUUCCUGGAGGAAGUGACACAGGACCUGAGUCUUGAAAGCCCAGUAGGACUUAGCCAGCUCAAGGGAUUCUGAGCAGAGUGAGCCACAUAAGAAAUUACGUAGGAGCAUGACAGUUUGUGCCGUGUUUUGGAGAUCAAUGCAGUUCAUUGUUAUUGGAGUGAGGUUGGCAGUAGUGGAACAUUAGGUGGAUGAAUAAAUGUCACUAUCUCCGUCCCCA